GCAGCCNUACAUGCAGUUCGAGCGGUAACAGAAAGUAGCUUGCUACUUUGCUGACGAGCGGCGGACGGGUGAGUAAUGCUUGGGAACAUGCCUUGAGGUGGGGGACAACAGUUGGAAACGACUGCUAAUACCGCAUAAUGUCUACGGACCAAAGGGGGCUUCNGCUCUCGCCUUUAGAUUGGCCCAAGUGGGAUUANCUAGUUGGUGAGGUAAUGGCUCACCAAGGCAACGAUCCCUAGCUGGUUUGAGAGGAUGAUCAGCCACACUGGAACUGAGACACGGUCCAGACUCCUACNGGAGGCAGCANUGGGGAAUAUUGCACAAUGGGCGCAAGCCUGAUGCAUCCAUGCCGCGUGUGUGAAGAANGCCUUCNGGUUGUAAAGCACUUUCAGUCANGAGGAAAGGUUAGUANUUAAUACCUGCUAGCUGUGACGUUACUGACANAAGAAGCACCGGCUAACUCCGUGCCAGCNGCCGCGGUAAUACGGAGGGUG
rnacentral:rRNA from 1 species